UACAUAGGUCACAAGCGUUAUCCGGAUUUAUUGGGCGUAAAGGGUCCGCAGGUUGUUUAGCAAGUUUGAGGUUAAAGCCCGGAGCUCAACUCCGGUUCGCCUCGAAAACUGCUAGACUAGAGUAUGAGAGAGAGCAGUGGAAUUCCACAUGUAGCGGUGGAAUGCAUAGAUAUGUGGAGGAACACCAGUGGCGAAGGCGGCUGCUUGGCUCAUUACUGACACUCAGGGACGAAAGCGUGGGUAGCAAACAGG
rnacentral:rRNA from 1 species